rnacentral:tRNA from 1 species
GGAGUUGUGGCUCAGUGGUAGAGUGCUCACUUAGCACGUUUAAGGCACUGAGUUUGAUCCUCAGCACCA